rnacentral:tRNA from 1 species
AGCUCCGAGGUGUUACCACAUCAGAUUGCAAAUCCGAAGAAGCAGGUUAGACUCUGCCGGGGCUU